rnacentral:lncRNA from 1 species
CCCGCCCCUCACGGCCCCGGCCGGGCUCCGGGCUCCGCCCGCCGCAGCCUCAGGCACCCGCGGCUUACCGGGGCUUGGGAAUACGUGUGGAGUUCUGUGCCUUGAAAACACCGAUGUUAAAAAAAAAAAUUAAUACCAACGUCCCAGUAAUUUCUCCCUCGCGGGAAGGUCACCACUCCGGUCGGUGGCUGCCAUUGGAACUUCAGAUCCCAGGAAACUAUUUUUGUCCAAUUAAUUGUCAUAGUCCUUUUCAAGGCAAAAGGUUUUCUGGCCCUGAAAAGAAGGCAGCAGCCAUUCUUCCACAGAACAACACUCAGCAGCAAAGCAACAUAAUCUUGCGGAUACGCUUACCAAAAAAACCCAACUCCUGCCGUAUAUAAACUAAUUCCGACCUAUCCAUCUGGCCAAGAUGUCAUGAGAUGGUGCAUGAGCUGUGAGUAAACCAUUUUCAUUUAUCCCAUUUGUUUGUAGACAGCUUGUGUAUUUUCUUUAGCAGUGGGCCUUUGAGGAGUAGCCUUUCCU